rnacentral:rRNA from 1 species
AUCUACAGAACUUGGUAGAGAUACCUUGGUGCCUUCGGGAACUGUAAGACAGGUGCUGCAUGGCUGUCGUCAGCUCGUGUUGUGAAAUGUUGGGUUAAGUCCCGCAACGAGCGCAACCCUUGUCAUUAGUUGCUACAUUCAGUUGGGCACUCUAAUGAGACUGCCGGUGACAAGCCGGAGGAAGGUGGGGAUGACGUCAAGUCCUCAUGGCCCUUAUAGGUGGGGCUACACACGUCAUACAAUGGCUGGUACAAAGGGUUGCCAACCCGCGAGGGGGAGCCAAUCCCAUAAAGCCAGUCGUAGUCCGGAUCGUAGUCUGCAACUCGACUACGUGAAGUCGGAAUCGCUAGUAAUCGUGGAUCAGAAUGUCACGGUGAAUACGUUCCCGGGUCUU